AACGAACGCUGGCGGCAGGCCUAACACAUGCAAGUCGAGCGAUCAUUUCGGUGCUAGCGGCGGACGGGUGAGUAACGCGUGGGAACGUGCCCUUUUCUGCGGAAUAGUCCUGGGAAACUGAGGGUAAUACCGCAUACGCCCUUUUGGGGAAAGAUUUAUCGGAGAAGGAUCGGCCCGCGUUGGAUUAGGUAGUUGGUGGGGUAAUGGCCCACCAAGCCGACGAUCCAUAGCUGGUUUGAGAGGAUGAUCAGCCACACUGGGACUGAGACACGGCCCAGACUCCUACGGGAGGCAGCAGUGGGGAAUCUUAGACAAUGGGGGCAACCCUGAUCUAGCCAUGCCGCGUGAGUGAUGAAGGCCUUAGGGUUGUAAAGCUCUUUCAGCUGGGAAGAUAAUGACGGUACCAGCAGAAGAAGCCCCGGCUAACUCCGUG
rnacentral:rRNA from 1 species